rnacentral:lncRNA from 1 species
UUAAAAGGAAAGAUUUCAUAACCAAAAGUUUAGUUAUGAAUCUACAAACUCUGGUGUCGUCAAUUAGGGUUCUUCUCAUAAGAGUGAAAAAAAAUAAUGGAGCUACCACAGUAGCAUUCUGCAGCCGAUGAUGAGGGCAUGGAUCUAACGGUGAGUGUUACACGAUUGCAGGAAUUCAAGAAGAAUUCGAGGAUCGUAGCACUACUCCAGGAAUGAAUCGAGGAAGCAGUAGAGAAUGUUAGAUUUCUAGAAGAAGAGAGAAGUAGAGAAGAAGAAGAAGAAGAAGAAGAAGAAGAAGAAGAAGAAGAAGAAGAAAAAGAAGAAGAAGAAGAAGAAGAAUAGAGAGAUAUAGGGGAAAUGAUGUAACUGUAAUUCAUAUCUGAAAUGUUGUUUAAAAUCCAUAUGUAAUGAUUCAUACAUUCUCCAUGUAGC